UAGCAGCGCAAGCUCAGUGAAAACCUGGGAAAUCUAACUGGAAACACGAGAGAGAGCUUUAUUUGGCAGUGCUAAAAAAACCUGGGGACAAAUGGCUAAGCGGCGGUGGAAGUGCAGGCUGCACAAUCAAUAGGCAGAGAGCCGGAUAGAGGCUCCCUUCGCUGCCGGAUCGACAAUCGACAGCUGAGAGACUAUUUUUUGCAAUGGUUGACUAAAUAUGGUCAGGGAAGAGAGAGGCACAAGAGAGCCUGUUUGCCUGGGAGUGCGUGUUUCAAAUGCUUAGCUGCCUAUAAAGCCGUAACAGUUUUGCUCGUGCCCUCUAAGUGGGAAAUACGGUUGGUGACUUCUGUAGUGUGUGUGCGGGAGCCCUGACCUCGCGAGCAGACUUGACCUCUGAAGAUGGAAAGUAGCUUCAACACAGACCUGCCUACAGUUAAGCCUGGAAACAUAACCUCAAGCAAGAAAAGAUGCAGUGCAAUAUCUAAGGAACUAGAAGAAACCAAUAUUUGCCGGGGGAGGGGGGAGACGAUCGCUAUUUUUUUGGUGCCUUUUUCUAAUUUUUUUUUGGAAGCAACUCCAACUUUUGGGGGCUUGGUUUUGGUCUUUUGUUGGGUUUUUAUUUUUCUUUUUGCCUGUGAUUAUCUUCAUCUGACAGUGGGCUAAGUUCACCUUCCCUUGGCUUCCUAGCAUCUAUCCUUGGAGUCUUAACUCUCAGUCCAGCAGACAUAAGUUUUAUCUAUUUAAGGUGGUGAGGUACUGUAUGCACCGACAUUCGCCCCCCCUUGCCUCCCCCUCCCAUGUAACGAAGAGCUGAUUCAGCGAAUAGAGUGAGAGCACUCAGGAUGAGAUGGCUGCUGCUGAUGUGUCUCUAGGUCAUUACCUCUCUUCCAACUGCAAAUGCUGCAUGAUACUAAGCUUACAGGAUACUACACGCAAACUGUACCCCAGCUUGAAAAUCUGCUAGAAGACCUGGGAGGAAGCUGAGGCUUUUACAGUGGACUACAACUACGAAUUCCAAGAAAAGACAUUGCAAAACUACCUGCGAUUCAACUCUCUACUUAAACACUGUCACUUAGAAGAGCAGGAGGCUGCAAAAAUAUGGAAAAGCACUUCUAACAUCAGUGCCAUCCCAAAACAAUGAACUAUGCCCGGCUUUAAGACAUUGAGCAGGUAAAUGGCAUUGCAAAAUUCAGUUAGCAUAGUAAGUUUAUUUUCUACCAUCAGUUAAUCAGAACUGUUGUCCUUCAAAGAACUGUCAGUCAGUUUUACCUAAUGACAGCAAGAAAAAGCAGCAAAAUACUUUUCAGGUUCAUCUGACAGGCAGUCAAGCAACUCUGUGUGUACCUGCUCAGAGCACAUACUUCUUUAUGUACCCAUAUGAACAUACAAUGCUAUGGAAUGUAAAGAAGUAUGUAUUUUUGGCAGGCAAGGAACGACCAAUAAGAGGAAACUAAACAGCUGCUGGAAGAAACAGGUUUCCCUCUUGUUCGAA